GAGCAGCGAACGGGUGAGUAACGCGUGGGGAAUCUGCCUUUGAGCGGGGGACAACAUUUGGAAACGAAUGCUAAUACCGCAUAAAAACUUUAAACACAAGUUUUAAGUUUGAAAGAUGCAAUUGCAUCACUCAAAGAUGAUCCCGCGUUGUAUUAGCUAGUUGGUGAGGUAAAGGCUCACCAAGGCGAUGAUACAUAGCCGACCUGAGAGGGUGAUCGGCCACAUUGGGACUGAGACACGGCCCAAACUCCUACGGGAGGCAGCAGUAGGGAAUCUUCGGCAAUGGACGAAAGUCUGACCGAGCAACGCCGCGUGAGUGAAGAAGGUUUUCGGAUCGUAAAACUCUGUUGGUAGAGAAGAACGUUGGUGAGAGUGGAAAGCUCAUCAAGUGACGGUAACUACCCAGAAAGGGACGGCUAACUACGUGCCAGCAGCCGCGGUAAUACGUAGGUCCCGAGCGUUGUCCGGAUUUAUUGGGCGUAAAGCGAGCGCAGGUGGUUUAUUAAGUCUGGUGUAAAAGGCAGUGGCUCAACC
rnacentral:rRNA from 1 species